UUGGAAUAACACCAUUAACAUAACCAAGCUUUGAUCGUCCUCCCAGAGCAAGAGAAACUGCUCUCUCCCAUGGAAGAUAGUUAAACUCAUUUAGCAAGACAGAACUAAGACGUUGAUUUGGGUUGAUAUCAAUAUCUGAGUGUGGUGAUGGUGGAGUAGCAUGAAAGCCGUCUCCUUCCAAAUUUACUAAGCUUUCUUCAGCCAUGAUUGAAGGACAAGAAGCUCACAAAUCUCUCAAGAGAACAUCACAGAGACAGGCCGGUUAGGGUCACUGCUCUGAUACCAUAUUGAAUUUUGAAUGUCUAUAUUUUUGUAUUAUGUAAAACCAAGUACAAGGAAAGCUCAUAUAAAUGAGCGGAAGAAGGAAAAAGAAAACAGAAGCCGAAAGAAAGGUGAGGACAAGCAGAAAACAUGGAAAAGUAAAGGUGAGGAAAACAUGGAAAAGUAAAGGUCACCAUACACCCAUGCUUUCUGUCACUAUACACCCAUCACCAUACACCCAUGCUUUCUUCCAAUAA